AUGAAAAUCAGAGUAAGUCUCAAAAAGUUUCGAAUUAUCUUAUUCCCAUCGCUAGAUACGGUGUACGUUACAAUGAUACGCAGACGUGGUAAGCAGGAAGUGGCAUCCGGUCGGUACAUCACGAUACCCAUUUCACACGUCGUUCUCUAUUUCGCAGUGACCAACGGCCACGUUGUCUGCAUGCCGUUCAAUUGAACCGGCGGCAUCUACGGGUAAAUCGUCUGUCUCGUUAUCGUUCCGUUAAAGUAUUACAAUGCCAAUCCUCCAUUGUCAUCAUAAGACUUCCACGCAUUCAUCUUUGGAGUCUUGUACGUGGUUCUACCCGUAUGUUUUCCAUUCAUCGUUACGGAUCUUCAUUGAUGUUAAUUGUUGAUACGAAGAGAAAAGUGAAAUCGUUGUACGCGCAAGGUCGACUUCGAGGCAAGCAAGUAUAAAAUACCAACACGUUUACCUUCCGAUUGACCGUGUUCUUUCAAGUACAAAAUGCAUGAAGAUAAUGUAUAAGAAGGUCAUAAAAAUCUGAUGUAUAAUAAAAAUUUGAUUAGAAUUCGAUAAAUUUGAUUGUUUUAUUGAUAGUAGAAAUUUAAAAUGUCUAUUAUGAUCAAAAAUAAAUAAACAAUUCUACUAUUGAUGUAUUUAACA